GACAGAGGGUGCAAACGUUGCUCGGAAUUACUGGGCGUAAAGCGCGUGUAGGCGGCUUUGUAAGUCCAACGUGAAAGCCCGGGGCUCAACCCCGGAGUGCGUAGGAUACUGCGAAGCUGGAGUCCUGAAGAGGAGAGCGGAAUUCCCGGUGUAGAGGUGAAAUGCGUAGAUAUAGGAAGGAACACUAGUGGCGAAGGCGACUACCUGGACUGAUACUGACACUGAGGUGCGAAAGCGUGGGGAGCAAACAGGAUUAGAAA
rnacentral:rRNA from 1 species